UAAACUACGAUUAGAUACCCUAUUAUAACAUUUGUAGGAAAUUAAACCAGAGUAAUAAUAGGUAUGUACUUUAAACUCAAAGAAUUUGGCGGUGUUUUAGUCCACUCAGAGGAACUUGCCCCGUAAUCGAUAAUCCCCGUUCUAAGUUAUUUAGUUUUGUUCGAGCUUGUAUACCGCUGUCAUAAGGGUAUUCUAAGAGGAAUUACCCUAAAAUUUAUAAUUAAAAAGAUGUCAAGUCAAGGUGCAGCCAAUGACUAAAGGGAGGUGAGUUACAAUAAGUAAAUUUACACGGAAGUGAUUUGUAAAUUAGCGGAAGGUGGAUUUGAGGGUAAUGAAAAAUAGAAACUUUUUGUGAAAAGGCUCUAAAACAUGCACACAU
rnacentral:rRNA from 1 species